rnacentral:rRNA from 1 species
CCUACGGGUGGCAGCAGUGGGGAAUAUUGGACAAUGGGGGCAACCCUGAUCCAGCCAUGCCGCGUGUGUGAAGAAGGCCCUCGGGUUGGAAAGCACUUUCAGUGAGGAAGAACGCCUGGUGGUUAAUACCCAUCAGGAAAGACAUCACUCACAGAAGAAGCACCGGCUAACUCCGUGCCAGCAGCCGCGGUAAUACGGAGGGUGCGAGCGUUAAUCGGAAUUACUGGGCGUAAAGCGCGCGUAGGUGGCUUGAUAAGCCGGUUGUGAAAGCCCCGGGCUCAACCUGGGAACGGCAUCCGGAACUGUCAAGCUAGAGUGCAGGAGAGGAAGGUAGAAUUCCCGGUGUAGCGGUGAAAUGCGUAGAGAUCGGGAGGAAUACCAGUGGCGAAGGCGGCCUUCUGGACUGACACUGACACUGAGGUGCGAAAGCGUGGGUAGCAAACAGGAUUAGAUACCCGAGUAGUC